rnacentral:rRNA from 1 species
CGCCCAUGCUGAACAGGGGAUACUAACCGCCCGAAGCCUGCCCUAUCACCCUUGUGGUGUGCGGGUUUUGGUGGAGCGCGGGACCUGAUCCUGGGAGGCAAGCGUAUUAACA